CAUACGUUUUUUGUGUGAGCCACUAGUUUAUUUAGCCGUGCUUGUUUUUCAAAAGGGUUUGGUGGUUCUUUUCAAAAGGAUUGAAGGGGUUAUAGGGUUUUCUUUCUUCUUUAAUUUGACCCAAUUUUGAUCCUCCAAAGCUCUUCCUCUUUCUUGAAUCUUCAAAUAUAUGUACCUAGCAAAACCCGAUGAAUUACCACCUUCGGCUGCUAUUCUAUAGAGUGAAAUUUUGCAUAUGAGAUUUACACACACUAACUAGGUUUCAUAAGAAUGUAUAAACAGUUUGUGUACUACAAAUGUCCAAGUAUACGUAUAUGCCUGGCUCCCUGUAUGCCAUUUGCAGAGCCCACCGAAGAACCGAUGGCCCUCCGUGUAUGGCGUAUGAGGAGCCAAGCAUAUUCACAUAUCGUAUACACGGUAACUCUCUUUCUCUAUGCCUCGCUUCUAUCGUCUUCGCUACAAUUGUAUUAUAUUUUCAUGGAAGAUAAAUAAAUUUAAUUAAAUCCAAGUAAUCCCUUAAUCUUCUUUCCAUCUUUUAUGUAAUAAGUCUUGAAAUUUUUGUUUAUCAAAUAUUAUCUUGUUACUAAAAAACAUAUGUUAGCUGCAGAAAAUGAUCUAGAGUCGUAAGAAUGAAAGUGAAAUAUGCUUAUGGGAAAAUGAUUCCAUCUGACAGAGAAUUACACGACAGUUUUCCAUUAGACUUGUGUCAAAUCACUUCACGAGGAACAAGGAGCCUGUGCUGCCUGCACAAUUAUAUGUUGUUCAUGUUCCGUUAAGGGUAUCCUCAUUCUUUAUAAACAGACAACAUGAAAGUUACAAAUCUUAUGAUACCCAGUCACUUUACAGUACAUCAUUUUGAUAGAAAUCUCUGUUGUAUUAUCAUCUUGGUGCACCAUUUCCUUGAACUUUUUUUCAUUGUUGUGUCUAAUGUGUUAGUGGUUUUGAUAAAAAUAAGAUUUUUAAUAGAUUUUGAUAAAAAUUGAUAAAAUACAUGGUUAUGACUUGAUAAAAAUGUAAGUCCCAUGAAAUAUAUAAUGGUGGCUGUAUAGCAUCAACCUUGUUCAAGUUCAUCUAAUCCCUCUUUACUUUAUUACAUUGAUAAAAGAGGCCAAAGGACAAUGUAUAUUUUAUAUUCUUUUUACUGAAAUAGUAUAGAUAGCUGUGCAUCCACAGAUGUAUACGGCUAUGAUGGAGUACUACCAUAUGCCACAUAGUCAAUUGGAUGAGUUCAUGACUUUCUAGGUUAAUGUGUAGAUAGAAUAGAGAGGUAGAUGUACUUAAAAGUUUAGGUUCAUCUGCAUAGAAUUUGGGAUAGCGCUUAGCCAAUAAACGUGUAUUUGGCCGUCUUGUGUAUGUAUGGGCAGGGCUUAAGCAACUAAUAUGAGAAAGCAAAAGGGAAUUGCAACCGUGAUUGUGGCUUUUCUGUAACUAGGGAAUCUCAUUUUACUAAGAAAUGAAAUUGUCAUCUUUUUAUAAAAUCACUCAAUUUCGAGUUAAAGCCAUAUUAAUAUAAAGAAAUAGAUGAGCGGACCACAGAAAAUAUGGUCUUUCUCAAGAAUUCAUGGCAUCCAUGAACCUAUCGAUUUUUAUCGUUUUUUUUUUUUUUCAAUGAACAAAAUAAAAUCUAAGAAAUGAUCGCACUCUGUCUCUUCUCUCUCCCCAUUCUCUCUUUCACCCACUAAAAUAAAAUACAUGCAGUGCUAUUUGCAUCUUUUUCUUUAGUUGGUAGGUAGGGUAAAUUUUACAGUCAAUGCAGGUCAAAAGGAUAGUUGGGAUUCUGACAUAAAGAAAAAGUGAUUACUUUGAAGAUAUCCUCAGACCAAUUGGAUUUGGCAAUGAUUCAAUCACUUAAUCAUCUCCCAAACACAAACCCUACCCAUCAACUCCGCAGCCUAGCUAGUAUGCACUAACCAGAACAUUCCCCCUAUAAAUCAGCUUUGUCUAAAAAGAAUAAAAAGAGAAAAAGAGGAAGAGACAUUGUGCUCAGACUGUGCUUAAAAGUAGAUUCUAUCCUCGCACCCCAACACAAACUUCAAUGCACUUUGUUGUUUUUAAUUGCAAGGAGAAACCAUUUCAAGAAUAAUGCAUUUCAGACUUGGAGUUUCGAGAAUUUUGAUUAAGCUUCAGUGCCAUUUAUUCAUGGCAUCACUAUUCAUUUUGAAGGAGGGAAUUGGUGAACACGAAGGGUUUUGUUUUUAACCUAUCUGAUCCAAGUGAUAAUCAAUUUUACCCAACUAAUCAAUAAAUUUGGUAUAGAACGCAGGAAGGAUUAAAAAAUGUAUCCUAGCAAAUUUUUGAAUUUUAAAAUUCAGUAAAUGUUAUUCUUUGUGGAAUGUGUCGCUUGAUAAAAAAUUUGGACCUCGCACCGCCAGCGAUUUUUUCUGCCUAAAUCUUGUAGUGCCAGUGAAGGAGCAGCUUCAAUUUAUUUGAAUUAUUAUAUAAAAAUUCAGCCAAAUGGCAUCAAAUUCUGCCUUCUACUCUUAUUUUUGAAGGAGAACAAUUACAUUAUUGGAAUAGUCAAGCAAUUACUCUGAAGCCUCAAUCGUUUUGGAAGGAUUUUGACAAUCUAAACAUGGAAAAAAGCGAAAAAGUUGGCCAUUUUUCUACACCAGUUUCAGAUCGUGAAUCAAAUCAAAAGUUGUGGAGGUACUGAUAACGGAGAAACUUGAGCUCGAGGAUCAUUUAUGAUAAAUAUGAUGAAGAUGAGAAGAAAUGAGUAUAUUCAAGUGAGGACGAAGUUGGCAAGGAAAAAAGUCGAGUUCCCAAAGGCUGAAGAAGAUAAGAAAGUGAUACGUAACAUUUUGGAGCAAAGAGUCCGUUUGAUUGUAAAGGUAGAAAAUGUAAACCAAUUCCAUGUAAGAUGGAAAAGAAAAAACUACCAAAAUUAUAAGAAUUCGAUUUCCA